rnacentral:rRNA from 1 species
UACGAAGGGUGCAAGCGUUAAUCGGAAUUACUGGGCGUAAAGCGUGCGUAGGCGGUUCGUUAAGUCUGUUGUGAAAGCCCCGGGCUCAACCUGGGAAUGGCAAUGGAUACUGGCGAGCUAGAGUGUGUCAGAGGAUGGUGGAAUUCCCGGUGUAGCGGUGAAAUGCGUAGAGAUCGGGAGGAACAUCAGUGGCGGAAGGCGGCCAUCUGGGAACAACACUGACGCUGAGGCACGAAAGCGUGGGGAGCAAACAGG